AUUGAACGCUGGCGGCAUGCUUUACACAUGCAAGUCGGACGAGUGGCGAACGGGUGAGUAACGCAUCGGAACGUCCCGAGUAAUGGGGGCUAACUGUCCAGAAAGACCGCUAAUACCCCCUAAUAUUCGAGCGGCCGAUGUCUGAUUAGCUGGUUGGCGGGGUAAAGGCACACCAAGGCUACGAUCAGUAGCGGGUCUGAGAGGAUGAUCCGCCACACUGGGACUGAGACACGGCCCAGACUCCGACGGGAGGCAGCAGUGGGGAAGUUUGGACAAUGGGCGCAAGCCUGAUCCAGCCAUGCCGCGUGUCUGAAGAAGGCCUUCGGGUUGUAAAGUACUUUCAGCGAGGAGGCGUUACUCGCAGAAGAAGCACCGGCUAACUCCGUGCCAGCAGCCGCGGUAAUUC
rnacentral:rRNA from 1 species